rnacentral:ncRNA from 1 species
CAUAUAAUACUAAAUUAAAAUAAGUAAUAUAUGCAAAAUUUUAUUUUAAUAAUUUCUUAAUGAAUUAAUUUGAUAUUUGAGCAGUAAUGAAUAUUAAAUAAUAAAGGGGAUUUUGAUUUAGUUAUUUUUAUUAGCAUUGAUUAAAUAUGUGCCAGCAGUCGCGGUUAUACAUAAGAUGCAAAUAAGUAUUUUUAGUUAUGUAGUUUAUUUAUUAUUUUAAUUUAGUUUAAUGAUUUUUGGGUAAAAUUUAAAUUUUUAUUUUUGUUUUAAGUUUAUAUUAAGUGAGGCUGUGAAAUCUAAAUUAUUUAAACUAGGAUUAGAUACCCUAUUAUUUUGGAUUUAAAUAUUUAAACUUGAGUAGUAUUAGNUAUGGUCUUGAAACUUAAAGAAUUUGGCGGUAUUUUAGUCUAGUUAGAGGAAUCUGUCCCGUGAUCGAUAGUCCACGUUGAACCUUACUUAAUAUAAUUUAAUAUGUAUACCGCCGUUUAUUUGAAGAUCUUUUUAGGGAGAAUUUUCUUUAAAUUUUAAUUAAUUUUAUUUCAGGUCAAGGUGCAGUUAAUAAUUAAGUGGUGAUGGAUUACAAUAUUUAUAAAAUAAAUGAAUUAGAGUUUGAAAAUAUUUUAUGAAGGAGGAUUUAAUAGUAAUUAAUAAUAAGAAUUAUUUUUGUGAUAUUAGCUCUGAAAUGUGCACACAUCGCCCGUCACUCUCGUUAUUAAGAUGAGAUAAGUCGUAACAAAGUAGGUGUACCGGAAGGUGUAGCUAGAUUGAU